CCCAUUCUCACUCCAAAGGCGUCAAAAACCGAAGCAUGGUCAAGCGCCCCUAGCGUCACUUUUAUGACGCCAAAUGUGCCUCUCGGCGUCGAAUAUCGAAGCAAUACGACCUUCAUUGCUUUCAAUGGGAAACUUUUGGCGUCAGAAUUCGACACGAGGACAUUAGAUGUUUAUCGCUAUGAAAUCACGUUCAAGAAGUCUCAUUCAGCACACAUCGCGAUACUUGCUAUCAGUUCCACAGUUUGGGUGAGUAGUCGUAUAUACGCUCUUUUAAUGCCUUUUAUAAAAUGUAUUCUGUCUUAUUUAUUAAUCAGAUUAGUGCCAUAUGUUUAAUCGCUGUAUUAUAUCGGUCAUCCGCGGCUGUCUUUGAGUUUCAUUGCGUUUAAAUAAAUGAACACAGCUGCUAAUUAGUCUGAUUAAACUCUAUCUGUCACGUGACGUGCCAUAGACCUUCGAUCCGUUUUAUAUUAUUAUUAAUUUCAGGAUUAAUGAUGUAAGUUGUAUUUGUAGUAAAAUCAUGGUAAUCACGACACUUACAAUAGUAAUAAAUGAAAUGUGAAGUUAAAACACAGUAAACAGGACAUUAGUAACUGUAACUGUAGUUUUACUAUGGUAUAUUAAUAAUCAAUACAACAAUACAAUAAUCACCAAACCAGCUAUGUUUGUAUCACUGUAAUGUUAGUGUUUUUAUGUGCUUUUAUAUGACAGAUAUCACAGUAAUCAUAUGUUCUGUACCAUGCUUUUAAUACCUUUUAAUGUAAAUCCAAAAAAAAAAAAAAAAUCCAAUUAAAAAUAAAUAAUAAAACAUGCAUUUUUCCAUCUUGCAGUUCUUUCAUAUCAGUUUAUAUAUAUAUAUAUAUAUAUUAUAUCUAAAUAUUUUGCUCACAGAUCAUUAUUAACAUUCUGUAUAUAAUUCAAUUUUAUUUACUCUCCCCUUUUUAUUAUUUUUAUUUUUAUUUUUAGCUGAAAAGACGUAAAGGCAGUCAGCCCAGUGGUGUUUCUGGAGAGGGAUUCCUUCAGAAAUGGAGAAGACAGAAAGCUGCGGAGGCAGAUAUUUGCAGCAGUAAGUCUGUGAUAGUUUGUCCCUUUUAUCAAACAUUCCUGCUGUUAUAAUUUGUACAGCAUUUGUUGUUUCUUAAACUGUUGCACUGUCCAAAUACCCACACUUGCCAUCUUUGCACUUGACCACUUGAUUACUUAUUUGAAGUCUUUCCUGUAUUUGGCCUAGUGUUCGAGUGAGCAUGAUAACCACAAGUGUGUGUCGAACUUUUCAUGACCUGAUGACUGUGUUUCCCAAUCCUGAUCCUGGAGAACCCCAGCACUGCACGGUUUUGGUGUCUCUCUUAUCUGCCUUGGAGUCUUCACUGAUGAGCUGAUGAGUUGAAUCAGGUCUAAAAUAUCAAGCUCAACAACUCACUCAAGAGCCAACCCUCACAAACCUUCCUAAAAACUAAAAGAGCUAUUACUGAGUCUCAGCGAAUCUUGCCAUGAUCACCUCUUCCCAGAAGAGAAGGAAGACCAAGGAAAUGAUUUGCUCAGGAUGAGGAAUGAAGACGGCCAUCUUGUGCUCAAACAAACAGAAGUCCUCUGAUGAUCUCAUCAGCCAAAUGAGGGGUUUUGACCAAGUGAUGCUCUUGAAAGGAGUGAAAGAAGAGGAUGUGCUAAAUUCUCUUUAGAGAAAAAGCUUCUCAAAAGGUCUCAAAACAGCUUGAAGAAUGGUCUGGCAUCUUAGGACUGAGAGAUCCUCUGGCUGAGGACAAGCUACACCACAUCAGUGCUGGAUAUCAGCCACAAACUGUUUCCAGACACGAGAGAAGAAGAACACGAUGGGGAGAUGAAACCAGUUUAGAUGUGAUGAUGGGAAUCAUUAUUUUCUGGAACAGUAUCUCAUGUCUUAUAUGUAUCACAUGAUCUGUAUCACAGUUGACUGGAUGGGACUGUGUGACUUUUAAGGACAUUUCAUCACUCAUCUGUGUGAACUGAUUUAUAUAUGAGGUUAAUGUAUUUUUGAUGAUAAUUAUUUUCAUUGAAUCUUAUUCGUCUUGAUGCUACUUUAUCAACUUUAUAGUCUAUGCUUCAAUAAAAUGAAAAUGGUGAA